rfam:Pseudoalteromonas piscicida strain S2040 contig0015, whole genome shotgun sequence.
CAUCACACCCGAAAGUAAAUUGCCAAUGAGUCAUUUCAACGCAUGGAUGCGUGAAAAGCGGUGACAGGGCCAAGGAUGGCCCUUACACCGCGGUGACGUUCAUAUUGGCAAUUUACUUGAGGAGUCAGU